rnacentral:rRNA from 6 species
GGUGAACCUGCGGAUGGAUCAUUA